rnacentral:lncRNA from 11 species
UUUACCAUUAGUUACCCUGGUUUUGAUGGCAAUGGGAUGGCAUGUCUCUGAAGAAUGUUGAAGUGCUGAAAAUAUUAUUCAGCCACUUUUCUGAUCCCGAAGAUUUUGAAAGUAUCACAUAUGUUUUCAGGCAUAUUGGCACAACAGCAGAGUGGAAAAGAGCCAGUGAGAAACAAAGAUAUUCCAAUCCAGAAAAUGAAUACAUUUAUGUUAACUUCUCCUCCCCAUCCCCAAAAAAUAUUUGUGUGAAUUAUUUGAGCCCUAGAGGCACCUGGGUUUUAUAUUCAAAGAAGAGUCCAUACUUAUAAAGGCUGAAAGACUUGUUUAUUUGGAUGCUCGAUAACAAAAAAACAGGGUUGUCAUGGAAAGAAUGCCAGGCUGUGCUGGUACCUUUCUAGUGUUCAAGAUUGAACUUCAAAGACUCUGACAGAAACCAGUGCAGGUGGUCCCGGUGGUGAUGGGCACACUGGGUGCCGUGCCAAAAGAUCUCAGCCGGCAUUUGGAA